CAGAAGAUAGUUUAAUGAAAAUUUAGGUUUUGGAAAUCUAAGAUGCUGCAAAGUUUUUCUGA
rnacentral:tRNA from 1 species